rnacentral:rRNA from 1 species
CAAGCGGAUCUCUUAAAGCUGUUCUCAGUUCGGACUGCAGUCUGCAACUCGACUGCACGAAGCUGGAAUCGCUAGUAAUCGCGGAUCAGCACGCCGCGGUGAAUACGUUCCCGGGCCUUGUACACACCGCCCGUCACACCAUGGAAGUCUGCAAUGCCCGAAGCCGGUGGCCUAACCACUUAUGUGGAAGGAGCCGUCUAAGGCAGGGCAGAUGACUGGGGUGAAGUCGUAACAAGGUACC